GAUGAACGCUGGCGGCGUGCCUAACACAUGCAAGUCGAGCGAACGCACGGGAAGCUUUUUCUUCUGAUGUUAGCGGCGGACGGGUGAGUAACACAUGGAUAGCCUACCUCUUAGACUUGGAUAAUAUCGGGAAACCGGAGCUAAUAACGGAUAAUAUUUUGAACCACAUGGUUCAAAAGUGAAAGACGGUCUUCCUGUCACUUAUAGCUGGAUCCGCGCUGCAUUAGCUAGUUGGUAAGGUAACGGCUUACCAAGGCAACGAUGCAUAGCCGACCUGAGAGGGUGAUCGGCCACACUGGAACUGAGACACGGUCCAGACUCCUACGGGAGGCAGCAGUAGGGAAUCUUCCGCAAUGGGCGAAAGCCUGACGGAGCAACGCCGCGUGAGUGAUGAAGGUCUUCGGAUCGUAAAACUCUGUUAUUAGGGAAGAACAUAUGCGUAUUUACCCGUGCACAUCUUGACGGUACCUAAACAAUAAGCCACGGCUAACUCCGUG
rnacentral:rRNA from 1 species